rnacentral:rRNA from 1 species
UUUUAAAUUGAGAGUUUGAUCCUGGCUCAGGACGAACGCUGGCGGCGUGCCUAACACAUGCAAGUCGAGCGAUGAAACUUCCUUCGGGAAGUGGAUUAGCGGCGGACGGGUGAGUAACACGUGGGUAACCUGCCUCAAAGAGGGGGAUAGCCUCCCGAAAGGGAGAUUAAUACCGCAUAACAUUAUUUUAUGGCAUCAUAGAAUAAUCAAAGGAGUAAUCCGCUUUGAGAUGGACCCGCGGCGCAUUAGCUAGUUGGUGAGGUAAGGGCUCACCAAGGCGACGAUGCGUAGCCGACCUGAGA